UACGUAGGGUGCAAGCGUUAAUCGGAAUUACUGGGCGUAAAGCGUGCGCAGGCGGUUUUGUAAGUCUGUCGUGAAAAGCCCCGGGCUCAACCUGGGAAUUGCGAUGGAGACUGCAAGGCUUGAAUCUGGCAGAGGGGGGUAGAAUUUCACGUGUAGCAGUGAAAUGCGUAGAGAUGUGGAGGAACACCGAUUGCGAAGGCAGCCCACUACGCAACUAUUGACGCUGAGGCACGAAAGCGUGGGGAGUCAAACAGGA
rnacentral:rRNA from 1 species